CCUACGGGAUGCAGCAGUGAGGAAUAUUGGUCAAUGGGCGCGAGCCUGAACCAGCCAAGCAGCGUGAAGGAAGACUGCCCUAUGGGUUGUAAACUUCUUUUAUCAAGGAAUAAAAUGAGGCACGUGUGCCUUUUUGUAUGUAUUUUAUGAAUAAGGAUCGGCUAACUCCGUGCCAGCAGCCGCGGUAAUACGGAGGAUCCGAGCGUUAUCCGGAUUUAUUGGGGUUAAAGGGUGCGUAGAGGGGUUGUUAAGUCAGUUGUGAAAGUUUGGGGCUCAACCGUAGAAGUGCAAUUGAUCCUGGCAGUCUUGAGUACAGUUGAGGUAGGCGGAAUUCGUGGUGUAGCGGUGAAAUGCUUAGAUAUCACGAAGAACUCCGAUUGCGAAGGCAGCUUACUAGACUGCCACUGACGUUGAGGCUCGAAAGUGUGGGGAUCAAACAGGAUUAGAUACCCUUGUAGUC
rnacentral:rRNA from 1 species